GGCCGGGCACAGUGGCUCACACCUGUAAUCCCAGCAUUUAGGAGGCCGAGGAGUGUGGAACCCUGAGGUCAGGUAUUCUGGAACAGCCUGGCCAACAUGGUAAAAGCUUGUUUCUACUAAAAA